UAUGUCUACUAACGUUUUUUCUACGUGUGUUUUACACAUGAUACUAGUAUGGCGCUGUGGCAUGCCCGCAGUCCCCACUACGACCAAUGGAAUGUUUGGAGAAUAUGUCCAAGCUUUCAAGUUUGAUGUGAUCCUUUUUUUUUACAUGUUGGCCUGCUGUUUAAAACCUUUCUCCCCUUUCCUAGCUCCCCCUUUUCCGCUAUGGAAUAACCCAUGGUCGCUGGCCAAUGGGCUGCCUAGUAUUCAUAUUGCGCAAUAUUGCGCAAUGCAGAUGAAACGUAAACCAAGCUGAUCCGUGCACAGCAGUCAUUUCGCUGCCAGACAGAGGGGAGACAACACAUGUCUGGGACCGGUCUCUGAUGAUUAGUAACAACUGCCCCCACGAAGUCAACGCACUCCCCUGCACUUCGAACGCAGGACAGUGAAGAAGUGAAACCUAAUGACGGUUGAUGAUUGACAGGACGCGUGUGAACCUGACAUCUUGCUAUAUUGCCGGUUAAUUGAAAACGUGACAAACCCUGAUUUCUCCGAUGACCCCGAUAACCCGAUGACCCCGGGGCAGAGAAAGCUGACAUAGCUUGAUACAACGUUUGCCGGUUCCCACGUUGUUGUUUUUUCCAACAUUUCCAAACUCCCCCUUUUCCGCUAUGGAAUAACCCAUGGUCGCUGGCCAAUGGGCUGCCUAGUAUUCAUAUUGCGCAAUGCAGAUGAAACGUAAACCAAGCUGAUUACGAACACAGCAGUCAUUUCGCUGCCAGACAGAGGGGAGACAACACGUGUCUGAGACUGGUCUCUGAUGAUUAAUUACGACUGACCCCACGAAGUCAACGCACUCACCUGCACUUCGGGGCUCAUCAUAAAGAUAAACAAGAUCAAAAGAAGUACUAUAAUACUUGCAGUGGAAAGGAAACAUCUCAUCAUCAUGGACUUCUUAUUCUAUUUCUUAUCACUUUUAUUAUUCUUAUUCAAAAACGAAUCAACAUUUUCAAAUAUUUUCAAUAUUUCGUCGGGCUAAAGGGUUCAGGUACAGGUUAAUAUGUGUGGGUCUCUGAUUUUUGCACAGGUCGGGCAAAUGAGAUCCACACGAAUUCAAGGGACGUCGGUGGCUUUCACUGAAAGACGAGCUGUAUCACUGAAGGGAAGGACAUCCGUGUGCAAAUUGCUACAAGGGGAUCGAGGCUGAGAGCCAUAUGCAAAACCCGAAACAACGUCGCCCGAAGGAGCAAGGCCAUGAGAGGGAAAUGCCAGACCGGCAGCAGAGCCGCGGGCGGCCAACCGAUUGCGCUGCUUUUGAGGGAAAAACUGAGUGCAGUUAGAGAAUUCAUGGACUGACGUACACGUGCUAUCUGCGUUAUUUGACUUAUACGAAUACGUGUUGUCUAUUCUAUUAGGUCAUAUUUAGUAUUGUAAAAAAAUAAUUCAAUUCACCUAGACAACGAUGGAUAUACGAAUGGUGGACAUCCUAACCAAACGUAUAUGAAAACUUUAUUGACACGACAAAAGUACAGCGACUUUCGUGAGGAUUAUAACAACUAUUUACAGUACAGCUAAGCAGACGUAUAUGCAUAUUUACAGAUAUGAAUAAGUCAACAUGCUGUUUCUAGCAUGUCAUUUACAUAAUUCGAACAUUGCCUGCAAAUGUCUUGAGUUACAAACGAACUUUUACCAAUCUAACGUUUGCGGGAGUUUCUUAACGAUAAAAAUACACGUCCGUGCAGCCGUUUACUUUUGGGUUGUAGCAGCCGUUUACUUUUGGGCUGUAGCAGCCUUUCACUCCGUCACUUACAAGAAGAUACAACGCAACGUUUGCUAGAUGUAAUUAGUCUGUAGUAUUGUACUAUGAUUGUUAUUCUUGAACGGUUAUUCGUUUGAUGACGUGAACUACAACAGACCGAGAUGUACUUAGUCUAGUAAUAUGAGCGAUAUUGUGUAGCUGUCUGUCAGGUAAGACAGAAUACAAAGACGAGAGAUUUCUACGGCCGUUCAGGAGAGCAGACAUUUGUCUAGUACUGAGACAGAAUGUUAAUACAAGAGAUUUCUAAGGUAAGAGAGUUCAGUUCAGGAGAGGCAAUAGAGAACUUCAGUUAAGGCCAAAGAGAGAUAGCAUUAUUAUGAAGUCUAUUAUAUUGUUAAAAGUCUUCUGUACCCAGCGUGCGGAAA